CCUACGGGAGGCAGCAGUGGGGAAUCUUGCGCAAUGGGCGAAAGCCUGACGCAGCAACGCCGCGUGCGGGAUGAAGGCCUUCGGGUUGUAAACCGCUUUCAGCAGGGAAGAAAUUGACGGUACCUGCAGAAGAAGCCCCGGCCAACUACGUGCCAGCAGCCACGGUAACACGUAGGGGGCGAGCGUUGUCCGGAUUUAUUGGGCGUAAAGAGCUCGUAGGCGGUUCGGUAAGUCGGGUGUGAAACCUCCAGGCUCAACCUGGAGACGCCACCUGAUACUGCUGUGACUAGAGUCCGGUAGGGGAGUGUGGAACUCCUGGUGUAGCGGUGAAAUGCGCAGAUAUCAGGAAGAACACCAGCGGCGAAGGCGGCACUCUGGGCCGGUACUGACGCUGAGGAGCGAAAGCGUGGGUAGCAAACAGGAUUAGAUACCCUGGUAGUCCACGCCGUAAACGUUGGGCACUAGGUGUGGGUCUCAACCAACGAGAUCCGUGCCGCAGCUAACGCAUUAAGUGCCCCGCCUGGGGAGUACGGCCGCAAGGCAAAACUUAAAUGAAUUGACGG
rnacentral:rRNA from 1 species